UUACCUUUCUCGGCCUUUUGGCUAAGAUCAAGUGUAGUAUCUGUUCUUAUCAGUUUAAUAUUUGAUAUGUGAGUCAAUGAGUCACACGAUAUUAAAUUAAUUUCUUUAAGGAAGGGAGAGAGUUCACUAUUGUAGCUUGCUAUUGGAGCUCUCGAGUGUCGCCCAAGUGCUGCACUACUGCUCGGGCUGGCGCACCCCAC